rnacentral:lncRNA from 1 species
AUGGCAUUUUCGUUAAUUUGUGUUAAUUAUUGUCUGUAAACUGCAGUAAUUAUACAGUUUACCUGUAAAUCACGAGACAAAUCUUUUAAGUCUAGUUACUUUAUAAUUAGAUAAUUUUUAUUAAAUAAAAAUGAAAUUGCUACAGUGUUAAAAUCUAAAAAGUUUUUAGAUCUAAACAAGGCUAUAGUGUGUAUGUGUGGAGAGAG